AUUGAACGCUGGCGGCAGGCCUAACACAUGCAAGUCGAACGGGUGGGGGACGGGAGAGCUAUGUAUGGGCAACUUCCUGAUGGAGGGGGUUAACUACCGGAAACGGUAGCUACUACCGCAUACCAUCGGAUGUGCCCAGGUGGGAUUAGCUAGUAGGUGGGGUAAAGGCUCACCUAGGCGACGAUCCGUAGCUGGUCUGAGAGGAUGACCAGCCACACUGGAACUGAGACACGGUCCAGACUCCUACGGGAGGCAGCAGUGGGGAAUAUUGCACAAUGGGCGAAAGCCUGAUGCAGCCAUGCCGCGUGUGUGAAGAAGGCCUUCGGAUUGUAAAGUACUUUCAGCGGGGAGGCGUUACCCACAGAAGAAGCACCGGCUAACUCCGUGCCAGCAGCCGCGGUAAUAC
rnacentral:rRNA from 1 species